AGAGUUUGAUCCUGGCUUAGAGCGAACGCUGGCGGCAGGCCUAACACAUGCAAGUCGAACGGAUCCUUCGGGAUUAGUGGCGGACGGGUGAGUAACACGUGGGAACGUGCCUUUUGGUUCGGAACAACUCAGGGAAACUUGAGCCAAUACCGAAUGUGCCCUUCGGGGGAAAGAUUUAUCGCCAUUAGAGCGGCCCGCGUCUGAUUAGCUAGUUGGUGAGAUAAAGGCUCACCAAGGCUACGAUCAGUAGCUGGUCUGAGAGGAUGAUCAGCCACAUUGGGACUGAGACACGGCCCAAACUCCUACGGGAGGCAGCAGUGGGGAAUCUUGCGCAAUGGGCGAAAGCCUGACGCAGCCAUGCCGCGUGAAUGAUGAAGGUCUUAGGAUUGUAAAAUUCUUUCACCGGGGACGAUAAUGACGGUACCCGGAGAAGAAGCCCCGGCUAACUUCGUG
rnacentral:rRNA from 1 species